GAUGAACGCUGGCGGCGUGCCUAAUACAUGCAAGUCGAGCGAACAGACGAGGAGCUUGCUCCUCUGACGUUAGCGGCGGACGGGUGAGUAACACGUGGAUAACCUACCUAUAAGACUGGGAUAACUUCGGGAAACCGGAGCUAAUACCGGAUAACAUGUUGAACCGCAUGGUUCAACAGUGAAAGACGGUUUUGCUGUCACUUAUAGAUGGAUCCGCGCCGCAUUAGCUAGUUGGUAAGGUAACGGCUUACCAAGGCAACGAUGCGUAGCCGACCUGAGAGGGUGAUCGGCCACACUGGAACUGAGACACGGUCCAGACUCCUACGGGAGGCAGCAGUAGGGAAUCUGCCGCAAUGGGCGGAAGCCUGACGGAGCAACGCCGCGUGAGUGAAGAAGGUCUUCGGAUCGUAAAACUCUGUUAUUAGGGAAGAACAAAUGUGUAAGUAACUAUGCACGUCUUGACGGUACCUAACCAGAAAGCCACGGCUAACUACGUG
rnacentral:rRNA from 1 species